UGGAACAAAACUAAGAAAAUUGCAUAACAGCAGGAACAAAACUAAGAAAUACUGCUUAUGCAUGUGCUAAACAGAUCCCUACCCACCCGUUACAUUCUUUUUUAUCAGGAAAAUUCUGGAAAGCCAAAAAAGUUUAUUCAAAUAGUUCAUCUUCGUCAUCAGGAAGAGGCUGAGGAGCCGCCCUACCUAUCUCUUUUUCAUUCCUGUAAAGCAGCACAUAAAUAACACACAUAAGGUUGAAUCAACCAAAGAAAAAAAUUAAAAAAGUGAGGAAGAACACCCUAUCAUAGAACUUGCAUCUGCCAUUGCUGAAUAAAACUUGCAGAGAAGACUGAAUGAUUAUUAAAUGAGAUUAGCUUAUAAUGAUUAGUCACUACCGCUGGUUAUAUAGUUAGUUGCUAGAAUAAUUAACUUUCAACUAACUAAGUAUCUCUAACUCAAGUUACAUGAUCAAAUUAAGAACUAAUCACCUUAGCUAACUCAUCUAACUCGGGUUUAUCAUAUAUGUACUCAAAUCACAGAAGAUAACAAAAAAAAUCACAGAAAAUAAAUUAGGAACGUACCAUGAAUAACAUUAAAUUAGGAACGUAAGAGAGGGUGGUGAAGGUGAAGGAGGCUAAGGGUGAGGAUGGAGGAUGGAGGGGGAGGUUGGUGCUUAUAAAGUUUGCUAUUGGAGGGGUGUACAUGGACUUGAAAAUCUCAUAAACCUUGUAUUUGUCAUUGUUGAAUGCAGAACUAACCAAGUAAACUUGCAGGAAAAGCUUAGAAAGAAAAAGGGAAGCAAUGACUGAAGUUCUAUGUAUUGAAA
rnacentral:lncRNA from 1 species